rnacentral:rRNA from 1 species
UACGAAGGGGGCUAGCGUUGCUCGGAAUUACUGGGCGUAAAGCGCACGUAGGCGGCUUUCUAAGUCGGGGGUGAAAUCCUGGAGGCUCAACUCCAGAACUGCCUUCGAUACUGGAAAGCUCGAGUCCGGGAGAGGUGAGUGGAACUGCGAGUGUAGAGGUGAAAUUCGUAGAUAUUCGCAAGAACACCAGUGGCGAAGGCGGCUCACUGGCCCGAUACUGACGCUGAGGCACGAAAGCGUGGGGAGCAAACAGGG